UCUUACAAAUGAGCAAAGAAAGUGGUUUCUUGAGAUGGAAACUACUGCUGGGGAAUGUGUUGUGAG
rnacentral:pre_miRNA from 1 species